GAUGAACGCUAGCGGGAGGCCUAAUACAUGCAAGUCGAACGGCAACAUGAUGAUAGCAAUAUUAUCGAUGGCGAGUGGCGCACGGGUGAGUAACACGUACAUAACCUACCCUUUACUGGGGGAUAGCCUUGGGAAACUAGGAGUAAACCCCCAUAGAGUACAUUGGACGCAUGUUUGAUGUAAUAAAUUCUUCGGGAGGUAAAGGAUGGAUGUGCGGCUGAUUAGUUAGUUGGUGAGGUAACGGCUCACCAAGACGAUGAUCAGUAGGGGGUGUGAGAGCAUGAUCCCCCACACGGGGUACUGAGACACGGACCCGACUCCUACGGGUGGCUG
rnacentral:rRNA from 1 species